rnacentral:rRNA from 1 species
GACGAACGCUGGCGGCGUGCUUAACACAUGCAAGUCGAACGGAAGGGCGCUGCGUUUGUGGGGUGCUCGAGUGGCGAACGGGUGAGUAACACGUGAGUAACCUGCCCUUGACUGUGGGAGAACUCCUGGAAACUGGGGCGAUUACCGGAGAGGAUCUCCUGCUGCAUGGGGGGGGAUGGUAAAUGUCGGCGGUGGGGUAUGGUCUCGCUGCUUAUCAGCUGGUUGGGGGGGUAGGUGCAUACCAAGGCUUUGAAGGGUAGCCGGCCUGAGAAGGUGACCGGGCACCUUGGGACUGCGAUACGGACCAGACGCCUACCGGCCGCAGCAGUCGGGAGUCUUGCACAGCGGGCGGAAGCCUGUUGCAACAACGCUGCGAUCGGGAUGCCGGCCUUCUAGUUGUAAACCGCUUUCGCCUGUGACGAAGCGUGCGUGACGGUACCUAAUCAAGAAGCCCCGGCUAACUACGUG